UACGUAGGUGACAAGCGUUAUCCGGAUUUACUGGGCGUAAAGAGCGCGCAGGCGGUCGUUCAAGUCGAGUGUGAAAGCCCCCGGCUCAACUGGGGAGGGUCACUCGAUACUGAUCGACUCGAAGGCAGGAGAGGGUAGUGGAAUUCCCGGUGUAGUGGUGAAAUGCGUAGAUAUCGGGAGGAACACCAGUGGCGAAGGCGACUACCUGGCCUGUUCUUGACGCUGAGGCGCGAAAGCUAGGGGAGCAAACGGG
rnacentral:rRNA from 1 species